rnacentral:sRNA from 14 species
GAUAGGUUGGGCCUGGUUAGUACUUGGAUGGGAGACCGCCUGCGAUUACCUGGUGCUGUAAGCU